rnacentral:rRNA from 1 species
AACGAACGCUGGCAGCGUGGUUUAGGCAUGCAAGUCGAACGGUUCCCCUGUUUUCUUGUUUUCGCAAGAGAACAAGAAGGGGGAUAGUGGCGAAAGGGUGAGUAACACGUGGGUAAUUUACCCUCGGGACAGGGAUAACUCGCUGAAAGGUGAGCUAAUACCUGAUGAAACCCUUGAGAGACAUCUCUCAAGGGUGAAAAGAUGGCCUAUCCUUGAAAGCUAUCGCCUGAGAAUGAACCCGCGUCCCAUUAGCUUGUUGGUGGGGUAAAGGCCUACCAAGGCAGUGAUGGGUAGCCGGCCUGAGAGGGUGAUCGGCCACACUGGGACUGAGACACUGCCCAGACUCCUACGGGAGGCUGCAGUCGAGAAUCUUUCGCAAUGCCCGCAAGGGUGACGAAGCGACGCUGCGUGAGCGAUGAAGGUCUUCGGAUCGUAAAGCUCUGUCACUCAGGACGAACGUCCUUGACACUAAUAGUGUCAAGGGUUGACGGUACUGGGAGAGGAAGCCCCGGCCAACUCCGUGCCAGCAGCCGCGGUAAGACGGAGGGGGCGAGCGUUGUUCGGAUUUAUUGGGCGUAAAGAGCAUGUAGGUGGUUAUCUAAGUCAGACGUGAAAUCCCUUGGCUCAACCAAGGCCGAGCGCCUGAAACUGGGUAACUUGAGUACAGGAGAGGAGAGUGGAAUUCCUGGUGUAGCGGUGAAAUGCGUAGAUAUCAGGAGGAACACCGGUGGCGAAGGCGACUCUCUGGCCUGAUACUGACACUGAGAUGCGAAAGCUAGGGGAGCGAACGGGAUUAGAUACCCCGGUAGUCCUAGCCGUAAACGAUGGGCACUGGGUGUAGGAGGAUUUAUUCCUUCUGUGCCGUAGCUAACGCGUUAAGUGCCCCGCCUGGGGAGUACGGCCGCAAGGCUGAAACUCAAAGGAAUUGACGGGGGCCCGCACAAGCGGUGGAGCAUGUGGCUCAAUUCGAGGCAACGCGAAGAACCUUACCGGGGCUUGACAUGCUGGUGGUACCGACCCGAAAGGGAAGGGACCUGGAAACGGGAGCCAGCACAGGUGCUGCAUGGCUGUCGUCAGCUCGUGUCGUGAGAUGUCGGGUUAAGUCCCACAACGAGCGCAACCCUUGUCCUUAGUUACCGUUCCGAUUGUUCGGGAUACUCUAAGGAGACCGCCUGCACUAAAGCGGGAGGAAGGUAGGGAUGACGUCAAGUCCUCAUGGCCCUUAUGCCCCGGGCUGCACACGUGCUACAAUGGCCAGUACAGAGGGUAGCCAAACCGCGAGGUGGAGCUAAUCUCAAAAAGCUGGCCCCAGUUCAGAUUGGAGGCUGAAAUUCGUCUCCAUGAAGGAGGAAUCGCUAGUAAUCGCGGAUCAGCAGGCCGCGGUGAAUACGUUCCCGGGCCUUGUACACACCGCCCGUCACAUCAACCGAGUUGAGUGUACCCGAAGCUCCGCCUUAGGCGGAUCGAAGGUGUGCUUGAUAAGGGGGGUG